rnacentral:misc_RNA from 1 species
GAUGAAGAACGCAGUGAAAUGCGAUAAGUAAUGUGAAUUGCAGAAUUCAGUGAAUCAUCGAAUCUUUGAACGCACCUUGCGCCCUUUGGCCAUUCCGAAGGGCAUGCCUGUUUGAGUAUCAUGAACACCUCAACUCUUUAUGGUUUUCCAUGAUGAGCUUGGACUCUGGGGGUUUUGCUGGCUCACAGUCGGCUCCUCUAAAAUGAAUCAGCUUACCAGUGUUUGGUGGGUAUCAUGGGUGUGAUAACUAUCUACGCUUGUGGUUUUUCCACCAGGUAACCUUCAGCAGUGGAGGUUCGCUGGAGCUCAUAGAUGUCUCUCCUCAGUGAGGACAGCCCUUUGAAUGUUUGAUCUCAAAUCAGGUAGGACUACCUGCUGAACUUAAGCAUAUCAAUAAGCGGAGGA